rnacentral:rRNA from 1 species
GAUGAACGCUGGCGGCGUGCCUAACACAUGCAAGUCGAGCGAACACACGAGGAGCUUGUUCCCCUGACGUUAGCGGCGGACGGGCGAGUAACACGUGGAUAACCUACCUAUAAGACUGGGAUAAUAUCGGGAAACCGGAGCUAAUACCGGAGAAUAUAUUGAACCGCAUGGUUCAAUAGUUAAAGACGGUUUUGCUGUUACUAAUAGCCGGAUCCGCGUCGCAUUAGCUAGUUGGUAAGGUAACGGCUUACCAAGGCGACGAUGCGUAGCCGACCUGAGAGGGUGAUCGGCCACACUGGAACUGAGACACGGUCCAGACUCCUACGGGAGGCAGCAGUAGGGAAUCUUCGGCAAUGGGCGAAAGCCUGACGGAGCAACGCCGCGUGAGUGAUGAAGGUCUUCGGAUCGUAAAGCUCUGUUAUUAGGGAAGAAAAGAUGUGUAAGUAACUAUGCACGUCUUGACGGUACCUAAUCAGAAAGCCACGGCUAACUACGUG